rnacentral:rRNA from 1 species
UGGGGAAUUUUGGACAAUGGGCGAAAGCCUGAUCCAGCAAUGCCGCGUGUGUGAAGAAGGCCUUCGGGUUGUAAAGCACUUUUGUCCGGAAAGAAAUCCUUGGCUCUAAUACAGUCGGGGGAUGACGGUACCGGAAGAAUAAGCACCGGCUAACUACGUGCCAGCAGCCGCGGUAAUACGUAGGGUGCAAGCGUUAAUCGGAAUUACUGGGCGUAAAGCGUGCGCAGGCGGUUUGCUAAGACCGAUGUGAAAAUCCCCGGGCUCAACCUGGGAACUGCAUUGGUGACUGGCAGGCUAGAGUAUGGCAGAGGGGGGUAGAAUUCCACGUGUAGCAGUGAAAUGCGUAGAGAUGUGGAGGAAUACCGAUGGCGAAGGCAGCCCCCUGGGCCAAUACUGACGCUCAUGCACGAAAAGCGUGGGGGAGCAAACAGGAUUAGAUACCCUGGUAGUCCACGCCCUAAACGAUGUCAACUAGUUGUUGGGGAUUCAUUUCCUUAGUAACGUAGCUAACGCGUGAAGUUGACCGCCUGGGGAGUACGGUCGC